rnacentral:rRNA from 1 species
ACAGUGAUGGAAAGAUGAAAAGAACUUUGAAAAGAGAGUGAAAAAGUACGUGAAAUUGUUGAAAGGGAAGGGCAUUUGAUCAGACAUGGCGUUUGCUUCGGCUUUCGCUGGGCCAGCAUCAGUUUUAGCGGUUGGAUAAAUCCUCGGGAAUGUGGCUCUGCUUCGGUAGAGUGUUAUAGCCCGUGGGAAUACAGCCAGCUGGGACUGAGGAUUGCGAYUUGCUGGCGUAAUGGUUAAAUGCCGCCCGUCUUGAAACACGGACCYMMUGGUUAUAUGCCG